rnacentral:rRNA from 1 species
GACGAACGCUGGCGGCGUGCUUAACACAUGCAAGUCGAACGGAAAGGCCCUGCUUUUGUGGGGUGCUCGAGUGGCGAACGGGUGAGUAACACGUGAGUAACCUGCCCUUGACUUUGGGAUAACUUCAGGAAACUGGGGCUAAUACCGGAUAGGAUCUCCUGCUGCAUGGUGGGGGUUGGAAAGUUUCGGCUGUUGGGGAUGGACUCGCGGCUUAUCAGCUUGUUGGUUGGGUAGUUGCCUACCAAGGCUUUGACGGGUAGCCGGCCUGAGAGGGUGACCGGCGACAAUGGGACUGAGAUACGGACCAGACGCGUACGGGAGGCAGCAGUGGGAAAUAUUGCACAAUGGGCGGAAGCCUGAUGCAGCAACGCCGCGUGCGGGAUGACGGCCUUCGGGUUGUAAACCGCUGUCGCCUGUGACGAAGCGGGAGUGACGGUAAUGGGUAAAGAAGCACCGGCUAACUACGUG